AUGAAAAGGGAGGAGUGUAACAUCUCAGAUGAUCUUGUUAGUUUUGCUAGACUGUCACAAAGCUCAGUCCUGCUGCAGUGAACACACACAUGUACAAUGAUACUUCAUUCAGUCAUUCUGAUCUCUGCCUUGGCAUGUGUGAGUUUUGGAGAUGAAAUCACACCAGACAGCACUGAAGAGUCUGCUGCAGAGGGUUCAACUCUUACAUUAUCCUGCAGUUAUUCAUCUGCAUAUUCACUUCUCUGGUACCGUCAGUAUCCCGGAUCAGCUCCUGAAUUUCUUGUGCUUAUAAUGGAGGGUGUGAAAGACACUAAGGCAUCUAAGGUAGAUCCCAGAUUCUCUACUAAGAUCAGAAAAGAAAAACAAGCCACAAAAGAGAUCAGUUGUGUGGAUCUGAUCAUCUCCUCUGCUGCAGUAUCAGACUCUGCUCUGUAUUACUGUGCUCUGAGGCCCACAGUCACAGGAAACACAAGAUCACUGUACAAAAACCUGACACAGCUGAAAAGGCAGAACUAAAAUGAUGCCUUUCUAAACAGAUUGAAGCACAUA